GAUUGGAUGAACAAACAGAGCAAAAAGAAAACGACACUACUUCUGUGUAACACCUAGGGCAGGAAGCCCUUGACUCUAAACUUAAAUCCUUAAGAAACCAGCGCUCCAGCACUGAAGCUGCAUCUGGAGACCGGGCACUAUUUGCAGACGAAUUAAUUUACAAAGCCGAAACCUGUGAUGAGGCUACGUAGCACAGCUGCUCUGGCCACUAAGGCCAGUUAUUAUUUUUUUUUGGCUUUUCAUGCUGUUUAUGCUACUGUGAAACUUUCCAUUCUCUGACAGACUUGGAAUCAGAGAAUUUGAGGAUUAAAAAAGAGUCUCAAAGGGCACUUGUUCUCUAUAGAAGCUGGUGAGGAGAGGACCCUGGCCAGGUGUCUCCAGAACAGUGCUUUCAGCGGAUUAGUCCAUGUCCCAGAAAAGCGGAGCGCUGUUUGCAGAAGAAAACUCCUCUCUCUAGACCCCAUUCUAAGCUGGUUUUAAAAAAUCAUAUCCAUCACGUGUAUUUUUCAGUGCUGGGUCUGACCUCUGCUCACAUGGAAAUCACCAUCUUAAAUCCCUGGCCUUCCAAUUGCCUCCUGGAUAUCCAGGCCAAGACAUGAUAAGGAGAGGCAGACCCCCCCCGCCUCUGCGCACUGAGGCUCUCUGCUCUCGUAUAAGAUGGCUGACACCUGGGAUGUCUCCAUUCCCUCCAAGUCGUGCUCCAUUGUGCAGGUGGAGAUGGCGAUAUUAGAAGCCCUUGUUAUUGGAAGUCAUACAACACUGUUUAGGGUCUUUCAAGUGCUAUCUAAUUAUCCUAAUUAGAAUACUUUGAAUGUUAAGAAUCCAUUCUAGCAUGUACAUUACAGUUAAUUUAUCCACCCAUAUAUCAUACUAUCUAUGCUGAAGGAUUUAAAAUAAAUUGUAAGCAACAUAACAGUUGUUAUAGUCUACCUGUGGGAAGACUCAGGGUUUUCCUAAGAUGUCUAUAUCAACUCUUUCCCUUGAAUAUCUGCUAAUACAAAAUAUUUAAUUUGUAAUAAUGAAGACAAAUAUUCUUCUUUUUAGUACUUUAUACAUAGUGUCUAAUGUUUCAAAUUAUUUCCCAUAUAUCAUUUAAUUUAUCCACUGAAACCUUGUAAAUUGAAACACAAUAGAGGCCAUUAUCGCCACUGUACAAAAGAAAGCAGAAAGACUCACCUUGGUAUGGCACAGUAUCCAGAGCCACACAGCAAAUCUUGGCAGAGCUGCCAUUUCUAGUCUUGUGGUUUUCCAUUGUGAAAUUAUUCUUGGUGAUCUUUUGUAAUGUUCCCCUUGCUGUUUUUCCAAGAAAAUCUAC